UACGUAGGCAGCGAGCGUUGUUCGGAGUUACUGGGCGUAAAGAGUGCGUAGGCGGUUUUCUAAGUUUGGUGUGAAAUCUCCCGGCUUAACUGGGAGGGUGCGCCGAAGACUGGAAGGCUAGAGUAUGGGAGAGGUAAGCGGAAUUCCUGGUGUAGCGGUGAAAUGCGUAGAUAUCAGGAGGAACACCUGCAGUGUAGACGGCUUACUGGACCAUAACUGACGCUGAGGCACGAAAGCGUGGGUAGCAAACAGG
rnacentral:rRNA from 1 species